GGUAACACGUAUCCAACCUGCCGAUAACUCGGGGAUAGCCUUUCGAAAGAAAGAUUAAUACCCGAUGGUAUAAUCAGACCGCAUGGUCUUGUUAUUAAAGAAUUUCGGUUAUCGAUGGGGAUGCGUUCCAUUAGGCAGUUGGUGAGGUAACGGCUCACCAAACCUUCGAUGGAUAGGGGUUCUGAGAGGAAGGUCCCCCACAUUGGAACUGAGACACGGUCCAA
rnacentral:rRNA from 1 species